CAAAUAGUUCCCCGAUGUAUUUAUUAUUAUUUUACCUUUGUAGGCGCACUUAGAACAAAAUACGUGGCCGCACGACGUGAUGGCCAGUCGAAUUUGGGCUGAAGGGGGAUGAAAACAGACAUUGCAGCAUACCCAGUUGGUCAUGUUCGAGGGAGGCUCCUGUUGCAACGAUAGCUGUCAUUCAUUGUCAGAGAGAAGUAGCACGGCAAAAUGCCACCCUGAAAAAAUUGUUGCGAUCCGACAAGCUUCAGACAAGCUUCUUAGCGAUGAAGAAAUCUUUGAGCCUCUUCAUCUGCCAGAAUCCGACCAGGAUCAGGAGGGAGAUCUGCACAACAGCCCACCAAAGCACUGUACUGUUUGUGUCCUCGCUGAUUUGACGGAAGAGCUCCUCCUUUUCCUGCCUCACCAGACGUUCUCCAGCAAAAACGGAGAACCUAGUCGAGUUGGUUUGGAAGCAGAGGAAGUGCUGACCAGAUUCAUGUGCCGUAAAGGUGAAUUUAGCAAAGAUGCCGUAGCGCUUGGUCAUCAAAACCUAGUUGUCAAGCAGAUUAGGAGCCAAAAGAAUAAUGCACGAAUUGUUGAAUGAUCUUCAAACACAUUAAAAUGAUACUUCCUUUACUGUACCUCAUGGCUGGGGUCUCUGACCGUCAAAGUGACGCCGAGGUGAGGCGUGUGGGUGGACGACUUCAAAUCCCAGGGCUGCAACAGGAAGUAUCCUGAGGGUGAAAGAGACGCUCAUCUGAGCCACAUGCUGACUUACCCGUCACCAGCACGUCCUCGGGAAUCUCCUCGAUGAUGCAUCGCUCUUCCUGCUCACCCAGAUCAAAAUACAUGGCGGCAGCCAGCGUCAGGAGCUUCAUCCCCUCCUUCCUGACACCCUCUAACCCAUUACCCCUCCUCUUCCAAAACCCCCUGGCUCCAAUUCCCUCCUACACGUGCUCAGUAGCUUCUGCUUGUCAACUGAUCUGAUGCCAGGACCACAAAAGACAGCCAAGUCAACUACUGCGCUACGCCGUUAUGCGUAAAACGGCUUGUAAAUGUGUAUGCUCACAGCACAGUAAGGCAAAUUUGACACAACAUGCUGAAAA